rnacentral:rRNA from 1 species
UAACGGCGAGUGAAGCGGCAAAAGCUCAAAUUUGAAAUCUGGUACCUUCGGUGCCCGAGUUGUAAUUUGGAGAGGGCAACUUUGGGGCCGUUCCUUGUCUAUGUUCCUUGGAACAGGACGUCAUAGAGGGUGAGAAUCCCGUGUGGCGAGGAGUGCGGUUCUUUGUAAAGUGCCUUCGAAGAGUCGAGUUGUUUGGGAAUGCAGCUCUAAGUGGGUGGUAAAUUCCAUCUAAAGCUAAAUAUUGGCGAGAGACCGAUAGCGAACAAGUACAGUGAUGGAAAGAUGAAAAGAACUUUGAAAAGAGAGUGAAAAAGUACGUGAAAUUGUUGAAAGGGAAGGGCAUUUGAUCAGACAUGGUGUUUUGUGCCCUCUGCUCCUUGUGGGUAGGGGAAUCUCGCAUUUCACUGGGCCAGCAUCAGUUUUGGUGGCAGGAUAAAUCCAUAGGAAUGUAGCUUGCCUCGGUAAGUAUUAUAGCCUGUGGGAAUACUGCCAGCUGGGACUGAGGACUGCGACGUAAGUCAAGGAUGCUGGCAUAAUGGUUAUAUGCCGCCCGUCUUGA